AGGAUUAACGCUGGCGGCGUGCCUGACACAUGCAAGUCGAACGAGGCCGCAAGGCCGAGUGGCGGACGGGUGAGUAACACGUGACCAACCAACCUCGAAGUUGGGAAUAGCUCUGCGAAAGUAGGGGUAAUACCGAAUGUGGCCCAGGGCGGGCAUCCGCCUUGGUCUAAAGAUUCAUCGCUUCGAGACGGGGUCGCGGCCUAUUAGCUUGUUGGUGAGGUAACGGCUCACCAAGGCGAUGAUGGGUAGCUGGUCUGAGAGGACGACCAGCCACACUGGGACUGAGACACGGCCCAGACUCCUACGGGAGGCAGCAGUGAGGAAUCUUCCGCAAUGGGCGAAAGCCUGACGGAGCAACGCCGCGUGUGGGAUGAAGACUCUAGGGUUGUAAACCACUGGUCGGAGGGGACGAUCGUGACGGUACCCUCCAAGAACGCCCCGGCUAACUACGCGCCAGCAGCCGC
rnacentral:rRNA from 1 species